rnacentral:rRNA from 1 species
UACGGAGGGUGCAAGCGUUAUCCGGAUUCACUGGGUUUAAAGGGUGCGUAGGAGGGCAGGGUAAGUCAGUGGUGAAAUCUCCGAGCUUAACUCGGAAACUGCCGUUGAUACUAUCUGUCUUGAAUACCGUGGAGGUGAGCGGAAUAUGUCAUGUAGCGGUGAAAUGCUUAGAUAUGACAUAGAACACCAAUUGCGAAGGCAGCUCACUACACGAGCAUUGACUCUGAGGCACGAAAGCGUGGGGAUCAAACAGG